UCCCUACAGGUUGUCGAAUUCUGCAAUGUUUGUGUCUUGAGCCAACCAGAGAGUGUGUAGCCGCCCUGCUAGCCAAUCAAGGUUGACAAGAUGGUGAAUUUGACUAUAGGGCAGAACUCGACAGUGUCUUGAAUAGACACCAGAACGAAGGCCUCUCCCAGCUACUUCCAUUCGCUGAUCCCAGUUCCAUGUCCCCUAAAUAAGUCUGCGUUGACUCCAUACUGCGCUUGCGAAUUUCCGAAGCUCGUAGCGCACCACCUGCCGCAAGCAAACGUAACCCAUGGGCAAUAUCUGUAAAACAGACUGCUUUCACUCUUGUCUGGUGCACACAGUCGUGCGGAGGAAAGACCUAAAACACCUCCGCGCGUCCACUUUGGACUGCGAAAGGUGACUUGAGAAAGCGGGCGC